rnacentral:misc_RNA from 1 species
AUGAUUACUCGUCCUGUGCUGGCCUCGCGCAUGUGCACGGACUUAAUCCAAACCCCUGUGCACCCCUUUAGCCUUUGGUUGACUCCGGUCGAUUAGAGGAUUUUACACACACGAAUAGUAUAGAAACCCUACCUGUGCGCAAGCACGAAUGUA